GCUCGUUCACGGCAAGGAAAGGUCACGCCCCCAUCCUCUCGCACUUCCAAUAAGGGGGAGAGGGCGGGGCGGCCUCGCUCUGACUCAGAAGAGGCUAUAUAGGGAGCUGCAGGGAGCAGGUAUCGUUCUUUUACGCCGGGAACUGCUAACGGCGCAUCCUUGCAGGAGCAAUGUCGCCGUUUUGCAGAGAUGCAGAGAAAAGUUUACGUACAAAUGCCAAGUUGCAUGAGAAAAUUCCAAAGGAUCUGCCAGAAUCGUCAGUGAAAAAAUACGUGCACAAAACUUGACAGUGACCACAGUGUCUUGGGUGUUGAUACACAACAGUGAAGCUGUACAUGUUACUGGCCAGCUGUUUCAUUUUAAGCUGUAGUGAGUGUUACAAUGUGUCCAGAGGCUGGCUUGCAGGAAACUGCCGAAUGUGGAUUGAUUUCUGGUUAAUGCCAUAAGUUUCUCUGUUGCAUGAAAAGCUGGUGUGAACAAUCAGGAAAGCAUGAAUAAAAGUUGAGUGUCUACUGAUUUUCCUUCUUUUGGUAUUGGAGAUUGGCUUUUUAUAUGCUAGGCAAAUAGUUCAGUGGUAGACCACAAAAUAGCAUGGGCUUCUUUAAAUGGAGGUUCUUGGCUCUUAGCUGGCCGGCCUUUAAGAAAGAUUACAUCUCAAUUACCAAGACUGAGGCUGGACUUCAUUCUUCUGUCAGAAUUUCUCAGUGUAGGAUUAGCUAACAAGCCUUUAAUCAUCUGUUUGGAUUCAAGUGUUCCAGUUAAACCUGAAAUUUUUUACCAAAUCAUGGUAUGUGGCAUUUUUGUAAAGCUAUCCCAGGUGGUCACUGAGUGACUACCCUACUCCUGGAAUGUUGAGCCCUGAUAUAAAAGAUGCUGUGAAAGGAAUGGAAGAUCAAAAGUACAGCACAACAAAGUUUCUUAUUAGAUAAAUCAUAUGUGGAUUUAAUAUAUGAAAUUUCUAUGAAUAACUUUGGUGUCCUGUCUUGUUUAAAUGUAUGCACUAAAGUGUUCAUCAAAGAAUUUCCUGAACUGUUAGCUCCUUGAUAAUAUAUGCUAUAAUUCCUUGCCCCCGUUUUAGUGCCCAUUGAUCAGCCUCAUCCCAACACCUACCGCGUAUGAGAAAUGCAGGUUCUAGGCCCCCCCGUUCCAGCUUUGUGAGACAGCACCAUACUUCUUUUAUAUUCUGUUUUUGAGGCAGUCUGGCUAUGUAGUUCAGGCUGUUGAACUGCCAGUCUCCAAAGUGCUAGAAUAACAGGCAUGUGCCAUCACUCACCUAUGCCAUACCUUUGCCUAGAGUUUCAUUCAACAUGAGGUCUUAAGUUUCCAUCCAUGUUACAAGUGGCAAGAACUUUCAUUCUGAAUAUUCUUUUACCUUGGUCCAUUCACCCAUUGGAUUUCUACCUACGUUGGUUCUGAUUUUGGCUCCUGUGAAUACUGCUACAAGCAGACAUGCUCAUUUAUUUUCUAUCCAAAUCCAAUUGUUGGGUUCUGUUAAAUUUUGGAAGGCCCCCAACAGCAUCUGAGAUUUCUUCACACCACUGCCAAAAUGGCGUUUGUCUUUUUGGUAAUGUCCCUUCUAAUUAAAGUGCUAUUUUGAUUUGCAUUUCUUUGGCGAUUAUUGAUGAGGAAUUUUUGAUGCACUUAUUAGCUGUCCGGAGAAAAUAGCUCAUGAGUGGUUCAGCCCAUUUUGUCUUUUUUUUUUUUUUUCUCUUUUUUUUUUUUUUAGUGGAACUCACAGCCUUGUGCUUGCCACACAGGCACUUGGUGCCUCUGAUCUAGUUUCUUAGGUCUAAUGUAGUCUAUUUUUAAUGCUGACUUCAACUUCCAGACCCUUGGUACUUAAAGAUGGGAAGUGUUACACCCAGCUUUCAAUUUACCUUUUGUGCUUGGUGGCCUAAGAAAGCCAGGGCCUUCCUGUAAACCACCCCCAUCCCAUUAUUUUGAGGAACUUUAAAUGUGACAUUGCCUAAACUUAGCUCAAGUUUUUGCUGCUGUUGUCUCCUGAGUGCUAGGACUGCAUGGCUAGCUGCGUUUUUUUGUUUUGUUUUGUUUUGUUUUUUUUUCUUUUCCCUAAUUUGGAUGACCUUUGUUUCUCUUUUGCCUGAUGGUAACAACAGUCUUUGUGCCUCAGCCUUGAAGCAACUACACUUAGCUUUGAUUCAUUUAUGGUCAUUCAGGAGUAAAAUGGGCAGAAUACUUGGCCCAGCAUGUGCAAAGAUCCCUGGUUUCAAGUCCUAGCAUAUACACUAAUAAUUCAUUGGUGGCCUUACAUAAUGAUAAAAACAAGUUUUAAGUCUUAAGCUUGGGGUAUCUUAAACUGAGGAGAAUUUUGAGAAUAGCCAGCUAGGUAAGUGGAUUCCCAAAUUGGGUGGUGCUUUCUUAGAGGGUUACUUUCCAGGAAACAAGUUAUUUACAAGUGUGGGUUUUUUUUAAAUGGACCAGUGGAUUAAAUUAGCCAUGAUGGGACACACCUGUAAUCUCAGCACUUGAAAUGAAUGAUUAAAGCAUGGGUGUCCAAACUUUCUACUUGCCUAGACUACAUUGAGUAAUGGAGGUUGAACUAUUGUUGGUAAUCACACUUAUGUCACAAGCACACACAUCUGGUACCCACUACAUUUAAUUUGAUGAGCAGUGGUGGUGGUUGGCACUACACUAUUCCCUCUUACACAGUCUGCAGUUGCCUGUGACAUCCAUGUUGGAACAUACUUGUGUCUAAAAAUCACCUCUUAAAAAUUUGUGAUGUUAAGAGGCUGCAUUAUUAACUGUCUAGAGCCACAUGUAGCCCUCAAGCCAUGGUUUGACUAACCUGUAAAUAGUUAUCUUAAAACUCGAAAUAGAACAAGGGAACAUGGGAGGUGAGACUGGCUCAAAAAUGAGGGAAACUUUCAGCCCCCGAGUCAAAAUUGGAAGUGUAAACUGCCUUGUCAGAGUCUAGCAAGAGGGUUGCUUGAUUCCAUGUCAGAAAUCAGCCUGUGCUAAGCCAGCUGUUUUCAAAAAUGAAUGGUAGGCAUGGUAGCACACCUGUAAUACUAGCUUUUGGGCAAGAGUUCAAGGGCAGUCUGCAGUGCAUAAUGAGAACAUGUCUCAAAAUUUUAACAAAUUAAGCUUAUGAUUUGUAAGGCCUCACUAUAGUUCAGGCUGGCCUUGAGCUCACUGUGUAGUCCAGGCUUGUCUCUAACUUGCAGCAUUUCUGCUUCAACCUCUCAAGUGCUGGGAUUGCAGAUAAAUAACCACCACUAUGCCUGUUUUAAAUAUUAGAAUUUAUUGCAAGGUAUGCUGGUGCAUGCCUGUAAUCCCAGCACUUAGGAGGCUGAGUUUGAGGCGAGCCUGAUCUACAUAAGUGAAUUCAAGGCCCUUCUGCUGUGCAUAGUGAGCCCUGCUUUAAAAAAAAAAAAAAAUCAUAGUGUAAUAGCACAUCCCUGUGAUUCCAGCUGGAGCAGGAGAAUCACCAGGAGUUCAAGACCAGCCUGACCUAUAGAGAAAGGGUCUGUCUCCAAAAAAGAAUCAAAAAAGAAUUCAAAGAUCAAGGUCUGUUUUAUUCAGUGGUACAUCUCAAGGUUCCUAGAGCAAAGCUAGACAUUUUAUAUUGUACAGUAAAUGAUAGACACAAAACUUAGAGAAGAAAAAUGCCAUUACCCUUUUGUCAAAGCUGGCAAACAAAAACAAGCCUGGGUUGUGAAAUAGUUUGCUUUGGAGUCCCCUGACCUCUGCAAUUCCUUCUGUUUUCAUUCCUUUGUCUCCUGGUAGAUCUUUUAAUAUGUCACAUUUACUAAGUUGAUACAAUCUAAAUAUAUUACUGUUCUUUUUAUGCAUUAACACUGUACUAGAUUGUCAGGAAGGUCAGAGAUAAACGCUUCCACCAUUUUGUACAGAUGCCAAAAAAAAAAAAUAUAUAAAACAAAAAAUACAAAACAAAAACUUCCAGAGAGGAUUAAACAGAUUUGAGUUAAAACCAACUCAGAUGAGUAGAUGACAUUAGUCAUAAGAAUGAGCAAUCAUAUUAUGAUCUAGAACUUGAGAGUGAUAAAUUAGCAAGGUUUGGUUACAAAUAGGGGGAACCCAGAUAAAAGACAAGGCUGAAACGUUCAGGACCAACCUGGGCAAAGUUUCCCUUAUUAAGUUAUGAAUAAGGUAGUUAGAAAUUUUGUAAAAGGCUAUUCUUGUAAUCACAAUUAUGUAAAACAACGUUAUUCAGUAGAAAGCCAUCAGAAAUUAUUUUUCAAUGACUACAGGAUAUAUUCUGGAAUUAGUAAUGAUAAUCAAAUCCACUAAAAUAAAACUAUGCUGGAUGUGGUGCAUGCUCGUAAUCCCACUACUCGGACAGCUGAGGCAGGAGGAUCACCAGUAGUUGGAGGCCAGCCUGGACUAAGGAAAAAACUAGAAAACUCAACAUUUUAUAAUUAAACUACUAAUGUAAACCUUUUAAUAAAUACUUGGAUGGCAGUUUUUGAGCAAGCUCAAGAAGUUAUUAGACUCUGCUUGUCUUCUAAUUUACAAGUAUUGACUGGUUGAAACCUUUUGUUACAGAAAUGGCCUGUACCAGCUAAGAUCAGAGGCCUUGUUAACUUAAUAAGGAAUUUACCCUCCAGUACAUAUCUGAAACUUCAGUGGACAACUCACUAAACUCAAAAGCCUGAAAGUCCUACAGAAACUUGACUACUGUAUAAUAGAUAUACUUGGUUCAGACUGGUUUUAGAAUUGUGUGUGGUUUUAGUAACUGUAGUCAUAGACGUUGUUUUUCCUCUACACCAGACUUCCAGAUAAAAUAUAGUAGGCUCAAACAUACAAUUUAGUAAAAAAAAAAAAAAACAUACAAUUUAGUGCUUUCUAAAAUUAGUUUUCCUGCCAAAAUUCCAGAAUUCACUGUACUUUGUUUCCUAGUGUCUCUUUGCUUCCCAGUGUCUCUGAGCUGAUUAACACUCCUCAUAAUCUUUCUUGCUUGUCCAGUGUGUAUGCAAGAACGUUUUGUGAUUCUAAUGGCUUUUUCAUCAGUUUCCCAGGCAAGAUUAGUCUUUAUGGUCUGGAGAUUUAGUUCAACAGCAUAAGUGCCUGCCUUGCAAGCACUUGGUCAUGAGUUCAAACCCCUGUACCAAAAAACUUUAAAAGAUUAAAAGGCUGGGGAUUUAGCUCAGUGGCAUAAGCACCUGACUGGCAAGCACAAGGUUGUGAGUUCGAUCCCUGGUCCCCCCUCAAAAAAGAUUAGUACUUAUUUGAAUCUGUCUGCUAACAUAGGCUGCUUAUCUUUUUCCAGUCUCUUUCCUAGAAGUUAAUCUUCCUUUCCAUCUUUCCUCCUUUGCAUCUUUGUUUCUGUCUCUGAACAGUACUGACAAGUGAAAAAAAAAAAAAAAAAAAAAAACCACUGACAAAUGUAAUACUUUAAACCAGCAAUGGCAAACAUUUUAUUAGAGAUGAGUACCCAAACUACAAUCCUAAAUUCAUUUACUUGUCACAAAGUGACAGCACUGCAGUUAAACCUGAAUAAUGACGUUUUAGUUUAUGAAAAAACAGCUGGGGUUGGUGAUGCAACACCUGUAACCCCAGCUCUCAGAGGCUAAGGCAGGGGAUCACAGCAAGUUUAAAGCCAGCCUCGGCUAUAUAGUGAGAUCAAGGCCAGCCUGAACUACAUAGCAAGACCCUAUCUCAAAAAAAGACAAAACAAAAAAACCCAUGCAUUAACAUCUUUUGUUUUCCUUUUUAUCGGUACUGGGGAUCAAACUCACGACUGCCUACUUGCAAGGCAGGCGCUUAUGCCUGUUGAGCUAAAUCCCCAGCCCCAACAUUCUUUGUCUUAAAGGAAAAACAAUAUGCAUGCCAUAGGCUCCCCACUACUGCUUUAAACUAUUUCCACUAUCUCAGUUCUUGCUCAGUGUCACUGGUCCAAUAUAUUUGGAUGCAUGCUGGGAUCGGGUUAAGUUAUGAGUUUGUCAUAAAGUUUCACAGUCCACCUUGAACCUGAAGAGGAUACUCUCAAUAUAAGAAUUCUCGUUCUCACAAGUCCUGACUUCAUCACCUCUUCCCCUCACCAUUAGAACACUGCUGAAGUCUCAAAAUGUCAUGUAGCUGAGUUCAGAGUCACAGUAGAAAAUUUAUUGUGAGUAACUCACCACCACGCUCCUCAGCCAGAUCAUCCUGCCUUGGAGCCAACCCAAUGGACUGAACAUUGACCAAAAUAAACAUAUCCUCCCUUGAAAUUUUGGGUGUUAGGUAUUUUGUCCCAGCAACAAGGGAAGUAGCUAAGAUGAUUAUAUAUGAUUCUAGCACUCUAAAGCCCAAAGCAGGAGGACCGGUGUGAGUUCAGGUCAGGCUGAACUAUACAGUGAGACUCUGUCUCAAAAACGCCAAAAGAAUAACAUGUGUGGUUUCAUAAGUUUUUCUACACGUGUAUACCCAUGAAACUACUACUACAAUGAAGAUGACUAUAUAUGUCCAAAAAUGUCCUCUUACAGGGCCUUAUUUGGAGCAUAAGAUGGAAUGUGAUGUCCAAAUUGAGAUAUUUAGUAAGCAGUUACAGAAUCUAAAGUUUAUCAACAUAGUUUCUUUAAACCCAUGAAUUUUUUUUAAAGAGUCUUACUGUGCUUCCUAAGCUGGCCUCAAAUUCAUGGGCUCAGAAAAAUGCCUUGAAAAUUAAAGCACAGCCUGAAAAUUGAAGGAAUUAAUGUCUAAUGACAACUCUGCAGUGUUAUGGUUUGUAUCUAGAUUCCCUCCAAAGCCUUGAGCAGUCAUGGGGGCAGGAUGCUAGAGUUUCUGAUUAACUCUUGGUCCAGUGUUAGGAUUAUAGGUGUGAGUGCUAUACCACUUUAGGGUGUGGCGUACAUACCAUAUAAGAGACUUCUCUCCAGGCUCUUCCACUUUUGCUCUUGUUGCUUUUUCUGUCUUCCACUGCAUGAACAGUGUCCCUCUGCCACACCACCCUGCCUGGGAUCCAGCUGAUUACAAACUGAAAUAUCCACAAACUGUGAGCUAAGUAAACCUUUCCUUCCUUAACUGGGUGUCAGGUAUUUUGUCUCAGCAAUAAGAGAAAACUAACCAACACACAAAGUAACAUAAUGAUCUUCAGGUAAGAAUGAGAUAAGACUUUAGGAAGUGUAAUAAUUUUUUUGUCAGGCAUUGUGGAGAAAAUGGAGUUGAACAUAAGUUACAUGUUUGUGUAUCAAUGCUAACAUGCCUAAAGAAGCUGAAAACUAAUAAAAUUAAUCAGCGUGUAUUUCUUAGAAAUGGCUGGACACUGUGAUGUAUAGGUGGUCACUAUGAUGCAUAUAGUAGGAACCAAUCAAAGGCAGCCAAGUACUCUACUUCUGUACUCCCCUUUGCAACCCCAUAAAAACUUUCCAGGAUGGAAAGGCCUGACAUUUUUAUAAGGAUUGGAUUAUUUUCAGUGCCUGUGCAGCAUUAAAUAAAUUUGUCUCAAAAAAAUUAAUCAGUGUAUUUCUUCACUAUUCUGCUGAACUUACCUUUCUGGGAGCAGAAAACAAAUAACUGAAUUCAUCGAAAAUUAGGGAUAAACUGCCCAGAAGGAAUAUCCCAACAAUACUGAAGAGUACCGAAGUACAGGUACAAGUAUUAGAAUUAUUAGCCUUGUGUGUUGGUUCUUCUUGUUGUUGUUUGUUUGUAUGUUUUUUAGGCAAGGUCUCCCUAUGUAGUUCACGCUGGGUCUUGAACUCACUGUGUAGCUCAGCUGGGCCUUGAACUCAUAGUGAUCCUCUUGCCUCAGCCUCCUGAGUGCUGGGAUUACAAAUGACCACCGCCAUACCCAGCUAGAAUUACUAACCUUGUGAUCCAGGCUGCCCGGAAGAUAGGGUAGAUUGGCAAACUGGUCCAGGUAAUAACAAAGAUCAGAUGUGCCACAUGAGGGUGCUGAUUCACACAAGGUAAAAGGAGGUUCUCUCCAAUUACUAUACAGAAUGAUCCCACAGAAUAUCGCAUUGGAUGAUUUGUUCAUCUCUCUCUGAACUAACACGUAAGUUUUUAGAAACCAGAGACUGUGCCCUUUAUAAAUUCAGUGCCUAGGACACCAUGACAUCCACUAUUUGUCUAAUUGAAUGAAAUGCAAUAUGUGGAGUGAGCAGUGAUGAUGUUUAAAAUCUCCAAAAGAGAUAUUUUAAAAAUCUGAAAAAUUACAAGCCAUAAUGGACUAAAUGUUUAUACGCCCCAACCAAAUUCACGUUAAAGUAUUUCAAAAAGAAGUGUAAUAUAAGCCGAGUGUGAUGGCACAUGCCUGUAAUCGUAGCACUAGGAAGCUGAGGCAGCAAGAUUGCCAGGAGUAGGGCUGGGGAUACAGCUCAACAGAGCAGCACCUGCCUAAGCAAGUGCAUUGUCCUGAGUUCAGUUCCUGGUACAAAAAAAAAACCAGAUUGCCGUGAGUUUGAGACCAGGCUGGGAUACAUGAUGCAUUCAAGACUAGACUGGACUACACAAUGAGACCCUAUCCCCUCACAAAAAACAAAAUGUAAGAUAAAAGUCUUUUAUCAGUGAUGAAAUUAAAAUAUACCCCAGAGACUACAACUUACUACUGCCCCACAGGACUUUAGUGUGUUUAAUGCCUAUAUUCACUGAUAUAAGGUGAUCAAGUAUUAACAACAAUCCAGAACUAUAGUUUUAUGAACUAUAGUUUUAGUUAAUUAAUUGACUGAUUUAUUUGUCUUUGAGGCAAGGUUUCACUAUCCAGUUCAGGCUGGCCUUGAACUCACUUUGUAGCCUAAGCUUGCCUCAGACUCAAGGUGAUUCUGCUGCCUCUGCUUCUGUAGCACUAGGAUUACAGGUGUGCACCCCGAGGCCUGGCCCAAACCAUACUCAUAUGAAAAUAGUUUCCUAGCCAGAUGUGAGGAUGCACAACUGUCACCCCAGCCCUGUGUAGGCUGAGGCAUGGGAUCACUCUACGUUCACAGCCAGCCUAGGUAACAGUGAGUUCGAGGCAGCCUUGACUAAUACAUGAAGAGACUGUGUCUAAAAAGAAAAUUGCCUAAAGCUAUUUGGCCUGUAUUUUUAUUACCGAUAUUUUAAUAAUGAGAUCAUAUCAUCUAUAAUCACAUUUCUUUUUCAAAAAUGAAUGUACAGGGGCUGGGGAUUUAGCUCAGUGGCAUAAACACCUGCCUUGCAAGCAGGCGGUCGUGAGUUCGAUCCCCAGUACCGAUAAAAGUUUUUUAAAAAAAUGAAUGUACAAACAUUGCUGAAUAUGAACAUAUCUCUAGAAAUGGCAGGACUAUUUUGAAAUUCAUGGAUUUUAGUCAGAGUGUGGUGGUGCAUACCUGAAAUCCCAGCGUUUAGGAGGCUGAGGCAGUAGAGUUGUUACAAGUUCAAGCACAGUCUGGGCUACAUAGUGAAUUCAAAACCAGCCUGAACUACAUAGUGAGACUAUCUCAAAUAUAAAUAAAAAAGAACUUUGUCUAUGCAUAUCUGAAUAUAGUUCACAUCCUUGAAGAAUUGUUUUUGCUUUUUUUUUUUUUUUUUGAGGCAGGUCUGUAUAGUACAAGCUGACUGUAAACUUCUGCCUCAACCUCUUAAGGGCGAGGAUUACAGGUGUGUACCGCUAUCAGGAAUCCUGCUAAGAGUACUGAUUGUCUGUCUGAAGGGAUGGCAAGAAAAAUAAAAAACAGACAAGUUUAGUAAUACAUGAAUGGCUGGGAAGUCAAUGUAUCUCGAUGGGUCCUCCACUGACACUCCGAAACAGUCACUAUUUAUUAAGUAUAUAUGGUGAUAGGUGGGGCAAACGAAAGAAUGCAAUUCUGCAGAAGACUCAGACUCAAGAUGGCAUAGAUGAUGAAAUGCUAAGCAGGACCUUGUCCUGGAGUAAAUCCUGGGAUGACUCAAGAAGGCAUAGAUGAUCCUAUGCCAAGAAGGAUUUUGUCUUGGAGUGUAAUCCUGUGAUAUAUGCCCACGAGGGUGUAGAUGAUCUUACGCUUAGAAGAGUCAAUGGGAAAUCUCAGAUGGGUGUUACUAAGCCCAUAGGGAAGUAUGCAAAAUUAGCCAUUGUGAAUUUGUGGGCCCCAAAAUAGCACCACACUGUCAGCCCACUCAGGAGGCCCAAGGGAGAUUUUCACAGGUGAGGUUCCAAGAUGAAAGAAUGCACAUGUACAAGACAUCAGCAACAACAGCAGACAGCGUGGAGCAGAACAGAAAGCCAGAGCACAAGAGAGCAAGAGGGCCACCUGUAUCUUUACUGUAUAAUUCUUAUAUAGGUUGUUAUCUCACGUUUACAUUCUUACAUAGUGCCAUAGCUAGCACAUGAUUGUUUACCCGUGCUAAGUUAUGGUUACAUAACUGUAUCCCACUGUGUGCCUACCCUAGACAAGCAUGGUCAUAUCCUCAGGUGUCCUCAGAUGCCCUUGAACUUUGAAGCAGUCUGAGUGGUUCCCCACACACCUAGCCUUGUUUGCUUUAAAUUUGACCUGUUUGAGUUGUACUAAUAAGUAAGAUGUGUGUAGUAAUGAGGGCCUGAGUCCCAUAGCAAUGUCCUGCAUAAGUCCAACUGAAGACCUAGAACCCGUGACAAUGUCUCAUGUGAGUGUAUAUCAACAAUUUUCUCUGGGAAGACUCAAAGGUCAGUGGUGGAAGCUAGAAAGUCUGCACCAGCAGGGUGAAAGAUCUGUGUUAGCAGGCUGAGGGAUCUGUACUGGAGUCAAGAAGUGAUGCUCAAGGUAAGGACCAGGGCUCCCCCAAAGCGAACUGCAGCCAUCCUUAGCAAUAGCAAGGACCUGAGCUCCUCCAAUAUGAGAACAGCUGAGUUAGUAUCAGGAAAACCAACAUGACAAACUUCUCCAGGAGAAUCAACAACAUACCAUCUUCCUCUCCUCCUCCUCCUCCUUUCCAUCCUCCUCCUCCUUCUGUUCUCUUUUUUGCACUGAGGGGGGGCAUACUACCGGGAUUGAACUCACAAUCUCAUCUAGUUCUUCUUUUACACAGUUGGCAACAAUCCCCAGGUGAGCCUUCCGUGCCCAGAAACAUGCUGAUUCAGUUCAGCUGGGUGUUACAAAUUGACCAUUAGUUAGUCCAUCACAAGUGUGAUGAUUCAUAAAUAUACUAAGGUUGACCCCGCGUGGUAGCACAUACCUGUAAUCCCAGCACUGUGGGAGCCUGAGGAAGGAGGCACAAGUUUGAACCCAGCUUGGGCAACUGAGUAAUCUGUUCCAAAAUUUUUUGAAAAGGCAUGAAAAUAUAGUACAAUGUGAAAUGUACAGUGCAAAAGCCUUGUGUUCAAUCCCCAGUAUAGAAAAAUCACCCUGCUGGUAUUAUUUUAUUGAACAAAUAUGUACUGAAAGGCUUUGAUGUGUAGAUAUCGUCCAAGGCACUAAAGCGAAGGCAAAAAUCCAUGUGUCUAUGGAGCUUAAAUUUUAGGAAAAGGAUAAAUGUACCAACACAGUAAAUGAUAAAGUAGGAAAUGAGAACUGAUCUAGAAAUAGAUUAUCGAAUAUGGAAAGUAAGUUUGGAAAUGUAAUUACUGUUGAUAGUAAAUUUGUUUUGUUGUGUUUUGUUUUGUUUUAUCCCAGGGAUAGAAUCCAGAGUCUCAUGCAUAUAAGCACAAGUCUUAACACUGAGCUACAUUACUGGCCCCACUAUUGUAAUUUUAAAUGUAGCUGGCAGGAUAGGUUUCUACUAGAAGGUUUCUACUAGAAGAUCUUCAUAGAACUAGUGAUUAAGCCUGUAUUUACCUGGAAAAAGGACAUUUCUGUGGCAGUGACCUUGAGAUGGGAACAAGCAUGGUAAGAAAAGAGAAAACAGAAUACAGAUAUACAAGGCCCCAUGAAUCACUGAAAAAGUUUCAUUCUGAAUGAAUUGGAAACCACUAUGAAAGAAAACACAGAAACUCCAAGUGUGAGUCAUACACAUCAAAUAUACAAACCUGAUUCUCAGGGCCCAGAUUGUGGCCUCUAAAUACCAUUCACUGUUUACAUGCACCAGGGUUCAUUGGAGAAAUGACUGAUUACAGAUCUGAAGCAAGAAAUGUACAAGAUGACCUUGUCGCAUCUGCAGAUACCAACACAGCAAACUAUAGAGUGUUGAAAGAAUUAAAGGGCCUAUUUGGAGAGUCUCCCAUUGUCUGAAGGUGAAAAAUUUAGCCAGACACAGUGACACAUCUUUAACCCAACACUUAGGAGACUGAGGCAGGAGUAUGGCUGUGACUUUGAGGCCAGCCUGAGCUAUGUAGCAAGACCCUGUCCCUCAAAACAAAACAAAACAAUGGAAAAUUUGACUGUUACUAAGGAUCAUAAUGACCAUAGAUCGAGAUACAUAAACUAUGUUCUACAAAUUCAUAGUGUUACCUUUUUGUUUUGCCUUUUUUUGGUACCAAGGAUCAAACUCACAACCUCAUGCUUGCCAGGCAGGCACUUAUGCCACUGAGCUAAAUCCCCAGCCUUUGUUUUCUUUUUGAGACAGGAUCUCACUAUGUAGUCCAAGCUGGCCUCAAAUUUACAGUGAUCCUCUUACCUCAGCAUCCAAGUGCUGGGAUUAUAGGCAUGUGCCACCACACCUGCCUCAUCAUGAUUCUUUUAAAAAAUUAAUUUGAGAAUAAAUCUUAGAGAAUACUAGUAAACCAACCUUUCAAUUUCAAACUGUAAAUAAAGGAACUUUCUAAAUCUAACUGCAUUCACCAGAUAACCAAGCAGAAGGUACUAAAAACAAAGACUGACAUUAUUAGACUGUCACUAUUUUAUAACAUGUACUGAAUUAACACCUGUAGGCAAUCAUCCUCCAUGGCUAAGGUUAAAAAAAAAGAAAAGGAAGAGGCAAUAGAUAUUCUUCAAGGAAGAAUUUAUCACUUUUUACUGGUAUCUUGCCUGAAAACAAAAAUUGAAUAUGAUUUUGAUAAAGAAUCUGAGAAUAACUACCAAUAGGCUUAGCCAUGUGACAGAAAUGCAAUCAGCAAAAUUCAAAGUUCAGUGACACAAACUGUAUAAAUUACAAGGGAAAGAAAAACAACCAACUGGAUAUAGUGAUGCACAUUGUAAUUACAACAUUCAGAAGGUUGAGGCAGGAAAAUUGCCCCAAGUUCAAGGCCAAUUUGGGCUACAUAGUGAGUUCAAGGGCAGCCUGAACUACAUAGCAAGACCUUAUCUCAAAAAACAAAACAAAUUGGACGUGGAGGUCCAUGUCUGUAAUCCCAGCACUUAGAAGGCCGAGGCAGGAAGAUCACUAUAAAUUGAAGGCCAAUUUGGACUACAUAGCUAGACCUUGUUUUGGGGGAAAAAAAAAAGGGUGGGAUGACCACUUAUAAAUCAAGAGACCAGAAAUGUAUAUCAGCAUCCAGUAUUUUCUUUAUGAUUCUGUAUGUAUUAUUUAUAAAUGGAGAGCUGGGUUUGGAGGUGGGAUAUAAGUAGAACAUUUGCCUAGCAUAUGCUGGCUUUAAACUAUCUUUCUGAUUCAAUCCCCCUAGUGCUGAAAUUAGAGAGAUGUGUCACCAUGUCCAUCUGAAACAUACCGCUUUAUAUACCAACAUAUCUCUUAAUAAAAUACCAUUUCUGCCAAGCAUAGUGAUGCACACCUGUAACCACAGCACUUGGGGAGUCUGAGGCAGGAGAUUUGCUUUGAGUUUCAGGCCAACCUGGGCUACAUCAUGAAUUCAAGAUCAGCCUGAACUACAUAGCAAGAUCCUAUCUCAAAAAUAAAUAAAUAAAUAAAUAAAUUUUAAAAA